UACGUAGGGUGCGAGCGUUAAUCGGAAUUACUGGGCGUAAAGGGUGCGCAGGCGGUUCUGCAAGUCAGGCGUGAAAUCCCCGGGCUUAACCUGGGAAUGGCGCUUGAAACUACGGGACUGGAGUAUGGCAGAGGGAGGUGGAAUUCCACGUGUAGCGGUGAAAUGCGUAGAGAUGUGGAGGAACACCGAUGGCGAAGGCAGCCUCCUGGGCCAAUACUGACGCUGAGGAGCGAAAGCAUGGGGAGCGAACAGG
rnacentral:rRNA from 1 species